rnacentral:ribozyme from 1 species
UUUAAUUAUUUUAAAAGACGUAUUUUUUUAGUGUUAAAUCAUUUUUUAAGAUACCUAGGGAGUUCUCCAUUGUACAUAAAAUAUUCAUACUCAAG